ACGGGAGGCAGCAGUGGGGAAUAUUGCACAAUGGGCGCAAGCCUGAUGCAGCGAUGCCGCGUGAGGGAAGAAGGUUUUCGGAUUGUAAACCUCUGUCAUCGGGGACGAUAAUGACUGUACCCGAGAAGGAAGCUCCGGCUAACUACGUGCCAGCAGCCGCGGUAAUACGUAGGGAGCGAGCGUUAUCCGGAAUUACUGGGUGUAAAGGGAGUGUAGGCGGGACUGUAAGUCAGAUGUGAAAUAUGCCGGCUCAACUGGCAGACUGCAUUUGAAACUGCGGUUCUUGAGUGAAGUAGAGGUAAGCGGAAUUCCUAGUGUAGCGGUGAAAUGCGUAGAUAUUAGGAGGAACAUCAGUGGCGAAGGCGGCCUGCUGGACAUUAACUGACGCUGAGGAGCGAAAGUGUGGGGAGCAAACAGGAUUAGAUACCCUGGUA
rnacentral:rRNA from 1 species